CACGGAGCUUGCUCUGUGGGAUCAGUGGCGAACGGGUGAGUAACACGUGAGCAACCUACCCCUGACUCUGGGAUAAGCGCUGGAAACGGCGUCUAAUACUGGAUACGAGUGGCGACCGCAUGGUCAGCUACUGGAAAGAUUUAUUGGUUGGGGAUGGGCUCGCGGCCUAUCAGCUUGUUGGUGAGGUAAUGGCUCACCAAGGCGUCGACGGGUAGCCGGCCUGAGAGGGUGACCGGCCACACUGGGACUGAGACACGGCCCAGACUCCUACGGGAGGCAGCAGUGGGGAAUAUUGCACAAUGGGCGCAAGCCUGAUGCAGCAACGCCGCGUGAGGGAUGACGGCCUUCGGGUUGUAAACCUCUUUUAGCAGGGAAGAAGCGAAAGUGACGGUACCUGCAGAAAAAGCGCCGGCUAACUACGUGCCAGCAGCCGCGGUAAUACGUAGGGCGCAAGCGUUAUCCGGAAUUAUUGGGCGUAAAGAGCUCGUAGGCGGUUUGUCGCGUCUGCUGUGAAAUCCGGAGGCUCAACCUCCGGCCUGCAGUGGGUACGGGCAGACUAGAGUGCGGUAGGGGAGAUUGGAAUUCCUGGUGUAGCGGUGGAAUGCGCAGAUAUCAGGAGGAACACCGAUGGCGAAGGCAGAUCUCUGGGCCGUAACUGACGCUGAGGAGCGAAAGGGUGGGGAGCAAACAGGCUUAGAUACCCUGGUAGUCCACCCCGUAAACGUUGGGAACUAGUUGUG
rnacentral:rRNA from 1 species